rnacentral:rRNA from 1 species
GACGAACGCUGGCGGCGUGCUUAACACAUGCAAGUCGAACGGUGAAGCGCCUUCCUUUUUGGUGGGUGUGGAUGAGUGGCGAACGGGUGAGUAACACGUGAGUAACCUGCCCCCUUCUUCUGGAUAACCGCAUGAAAGUGUGGCUAAUACGGGAUAUUCUGGGUCUGUCGCAUGAUGGGUCUGGGAAAGAUAUUGUUUCGGUGGGGGAUGGGCUCGCGGCCUAUCAGCUUGUUGGUGGGGUGAUGGCCUACCAAGGCGGUGACGGGUAGCCGGCCUGAGAGGGUGGACGGUCACACUGGGACUGAGCCACGGCCACGACUCCUACGGGCGGCAGCAGUGGGGAAUAUUGCACAAUGGGCGCAAGGCUGAUGCAGCGACGCCGCGUGAGGGAUGGAGGCCUUCGGGUUGUGAACCUCUUUCGCCAGUGAAGCAGGCCUGCCUCGUUUGUGGGUGGGUUGACGGUAGCUGGAUAAGAAGCGCCGGCUAACUACGUG